rnacentral:rRNA from 1 species
UUGAAAGGGAAACGAUUGAAGUCAGUCGUACUGACGGGAAAUCAACUUCUCGAGUGCUUGUCGUGAAUGACGUUGAGCUUCACGGCCUUCGUUGCUUGCGUUAUGGUGCUUUUGAGGUGUACUUUUCCGUAUGGUAAGUCAACAUCGAUUUUGAUCGUCAUAAAAUGAUCGGAGGAAUGUGGCUCUGAUCUUGUAUCGGAGUGUUAUAGCCUUUGGUAGAUGUGACGAUUGGGAUCGAGGAUUGUAACGAAUACCCUUCUGGGCUAUCCGUCUGACCUCUGAAAGUUGCUCAGGUGCCGAAAGCGUGCUUACGGUUAUCUAAGUUAACGGUCAAUAGGUUAGAACGUGAUUACAUUCGUUAAGGAUGUUGACGUA